rnacentral:misc_RNA from 1 species
UCUCCGUAGGUGAACCUGCGGAGGGAUCAUUACAGAGUUCAUGCCCUCACGGGUAGAUCUCCCACCCUGUGUUAUUAUACUUUGUUGCUUUGGCAGGCCGCCCGCGUGGGCUACCGGCUCCAGCUGGUAAGUGCCUGCCAGAGGACCCCAAACUCUGAAUACUUUAUUGUCUGAGUACUAUAUAAUAGUUUAAAACUUUCAACAACGGAUCUCUUGGUUCUG